ensembl:lincRNA Gm839 predicted gene 839
GAAGAAGAAAAUUUUAAGGAAAUGCAUUCAGAAAGGGAUUAUGUAGGUCAUAAGUGAUGGAGCAGUCAUGUGUGAGAGCUAUUGCCAACUCUAAUUAAGCACAGAUUUAAAAUAUAUAUAUAUAUUUACACUGAGAUCAAGUCAAGAUUCCAAACAACCACCCAGAGUGCUAGGAGCUUCACAGAAGACAACACAGGAUGGAGCUGCACGGAACUCUGGCAAAGACUGUCAAGGUCAAAGCAAUGGCACCUUAAUUCAACUUCAGCAUCCUUCAAUGUAAAUGUGAUCUUGGAACAGUUACACUCCCAAAGCCAUUUGUUGGCUCAAAUUCUGAUAGGGUCCAACUCAGGCUGAUUGCAGUGUCCUGCUGAACUGUCUCUCCAGACAUGUGGGAGACCCUAAGCACUGUCAUGAUGGGUGACCAGAAUCAAAAUCGCUUUCAGACCCUGGAUUUUGACAGCCUGUUCUCUUCAGAGGUGAAUGAAGGAGACACAGCCUCAGAGACAAUGCAGCAAAAUCUCUGGUGUCCAGCAAUGAAGUUCUCAGAGCACACUACCUCUGUGCCCAAGAUCGAGCCAUGGACCAAGAAGCUCCCACGAUAUAGCCACUUAGUGUAUGACGCUGAUGUCCAAAUGUCUGACUGGACCCCCGAAGAGACAGACAACUGGAUGAGGUUGACUCUUGCUGCAGCUGUAGUGUGGUCAAUGCGGACCUGCAGAUUUUCUCGACAUGGGAGGAACAACACAUUGCUGGCAUAGCGGCCGCAGCUGCCACAUGUCAUCAUCCCAUGGGAACAGCAAACCCCAAACCCUUGUUCAUCUCCACUCUGACAGGAGAUUUUUUUAACGUUUAUAGAAGAAGAGAAAGAGGAAGAUGAAGAAGAACCAGACAACUCAUUGAAUCGGGCAGAAUAGACUCCAAUGAGAGGCAGUAUAAAAAGAUGGGAUCCUGGCUUUCCAAGACCUGAUCUCAGCCCAGAACUCCUGCCUCUUUCUCCUUCCCUGGCCUAAGUCUCUGAGCCCCCAGCCCAGGCCUGGAGCACCUUCACUCCUCCAGUUUUCAGGGUUCUACCCGGGCUCCUUCUCUUUUAAGGCUCAGUGGUUCAUCUGAGCGCCCCAGAAACACCCAAUAAAGUGUCCCUUUGGCCAGGGUCCAUGCUCUACUACUUAAGGAUUUUCCGACAUAAAUACCUUAGACUUCAUCCCCAGGCUUAAAAUAGACCCUUGUAAUCAUCUCCACUGACACACCUGCAAGAUGCCCUCCUAGAGUGUAGGUGUAGUGCCACACUAUCAGAAAAGGCCACUUAUACCAGCUUCUGUACUGGCCCCAUUUAUAGGGUCUGACACCCCUGGGUGUUCAGAACCAGGCUGCCUACAAAAACCUCAUUAGGGUGGGGGUAUGUGCCUCUGAGCCCUCUAGCAUACAAUCCACAACCUGUAUCAGUCAGAGUCGGACCUCCAGAAGACAAAGAGCAAGGAGGGCAGCUUGAGAGACUUUCCCAGGACUGUGGACUCUGAUGAAUUCUCCCUUGCUUCCCAGAUUGGCAGGAUUUGGCUCCUGGGUGCAGGCUCCCAAUCCUGAAGUUUUCUUCACUCAGGUCAUUAAGCUGUGACAAGGUGACAACAGGACUCUCUAGUGCCUUCUCUAAGAAAGGACCCCAUCACCCCACCUCCAUCCUCAUCCCCUAAUCCUGCCCUGCCCUCCAGUGCCCUGCCCUGCCCUCUAUGCCAGUUCUAGACUUUCAAAUGAUGGUAGACCACCGCCCCCCCAACCCCCUCUUAGCACCGACCACUGUCACUCCUUGAAGCAUCUCAUUGCAUUCUCCAAUAAAGUCUUCCCUACA